UUCAUUUUAUGUCAUUUCUUUCCUCGAUUUUUCAUUGGGAUGCCAUCUGCUGUGUUCCUUCUUCCUCUCCAUCCUAUUUUCGGUUCUUCCCCUCUGCAAGUCAGCAAACACCACCACUCAUUCCUCCAUCUUCAGCUGGUCUGUCUGUGAGCGUCCAUUGUUGUGCUUUCUCUUAAAUUUUCCUUACUAAUUUUGUGGCUCAUGCUUGUGAUUUAUUCCCAUUGCAUUCCCUUUUUUUUGGUCUUUCAUUGCUCUGUUUUGCCCUUUUUUCCGUGCCCUGUUUUGCCCAUAAAAGCCAUGAGCUUCACUCGGUUUCUUGGUGAUUUUGGUGCUUGCCAUGAGUGCAUCUUCUAGCCUUCGCUUGUUGCCUCUCGAUUUCCCUUGGAUAUUUUUAUGGUCCAACUGGAGAACAAGAAUAUGAAGUAUUGGAAAAGUCUGAUGAUCAUAGAUGAAUGAGUGCUAAGGGUACAAGUAUUUUGGGAGGAUCAGAUUUAGUAGUUUUAUCUCUUGCGGUUAUUUUGGUACUUCAAGUUGUGAAUAAUUUGAGUCUUUGUGGAGAUGUUAUUUGUUUUAUUGAGGUUUUUGUUUAGUAUUUCUGUGGAAGGACACGGAUUUUUGGAUCAAACAAAUAACUUAAGUAUGUUGUGGAGUUUCCGUUUAUUUAUUAUUGAUUAUUGGAGAUGUUCUUGAG